GAAUCUGCCUAUUAAUGGGGGACAACAUCUCGAAAGGGAUGCUAAUACCGCAUACGCCCUACGGGGGAAAGCAGGGGAUCACUUGUGACCUUGCGUUAAUAGAUGAGCCUAAGUCGGAUUAGCUAGUUGGUGGGGUAAAGGCCUACCAAGGCGACGAUCUGUAGCGGGUCUGAGAGGAUGAUCCGCCACACUGGGACUGAGACACGGCCCAGACUCCUACGGGAGGCAGCAGUGGGGAAUAUUGGACAAUGGGGGGAACCCUGAUCCAGCCAUGCCGCGUGUGUGAAGAAGGCCUUAUGGUUGUAAAGCACUUUAAGCGAGGAGGAGGCUCUUCUAGUUAAUACCUAGGAUGAGUGGACGUUACUCGCAGAAUAAGCACCGGCUAACUCUGUGCCAGCAGCCGCGGUAAUACAGAGGGUGCGAGCGUUAAUCGGAUUUACUGGGCGUAAAGCGUGCGUAGGCGGCUUUUUAAGUCGGAUGUGAAAUCCCCGAGCUUAACUUGGGAAUUGCAUUCGAUACUGGGAAGCUAGAGUAUGGGAGAGGAUGGUAGAAUUCCAGGUGUAGCGGUGAAAUGCGUAGAGAUCUGGAGGAAUACCGAUGGCGAAGGCAGCCAUCUGGCCUAAUACUGACGCUGAGGUACGAAAGCAUGGGGAGCAAACAGGAUUAGAUACCCUGGUAGUCCAUGCCGUAAACGAUGUCUACUA
rnacentral:rRNA from 1 species